rnacentral:rRNA from 1 species
GACGAACGCUGGCGGCGUGCCUAAUACAUGCAAGUAGGACGCAGUUGCGAACGGGUGAGUAACGCGUAGGUAACUACCUAUUAGAGGGGGAUAACUAUUGGAUACGAUAGCUAAUACCGCAUACUAGUAGAUGAACCUGCGUUGUAUUAGCUAGUAGGUAGGGUAAUGGCCUACCUAGGCAACGAUACAUAGCCGAGGUGAGAGGGUGGUCGGCCAAAAUGGGACUGAGAAACGGGGCAGACUCCUACGGGGGGGAGCAGUAGGGAAUCAUCGGCAAUGGGGGGAAACCUGAACGAGCAAAGCCGCGUGAGUGAAGAAGGUUGUCGGAUCGUAAAGCUCUGUUGUUAAGGAAGCGGUACUUAAACAGAAAGGGACGGCUAAAUACGUGCCAGCAGCCGCGGUAAUAC